GUCUCUUCUCUGUGAUUUGCCAAAGAGAAAAUAUGGUAUCUGUUUUUACCAGUAAAAUAUCUGAUAUGUCCUCUAUCAAUGAAUAAUGUAUUAAAUGGAAUUUUUGGAAAUAGGAGGUGGAAUAGGAACUUGCUCUGUUUAUACCAUGAAUUGACCUAGUAUCGCAGUACCUUCAAGAACAUUGCAUCCUCC